rnacentral:rRNA from 1 species
GACGAACGCUGGCGGCGUGCUUAACACAUGCAAGUCGAACGGAAAGGCCCUGCUUUUGUGGGGUGCUCGAGUGGCGAACGGGUGAGUAACACGUGAGUAACCUGCCCUUGACUUUGGGAUAACUUCAGGAAACUGGGGCUAAUACCGGAUAGGAGCUCCUGCUGCAUGGUGGGGGUUGGAAAGUUUCGGCGGUUGGGGAUGGACUCGCGGCUUAUCAGCUUGUUGGUGGGGUAGUGGCUUACCAAGGCAUUGACGGGUAGCCGGCCUGAGAGGGUGACCGGCCCCAUUGGGACUGAGAUACGGCCCAGAGUCCUACGGGAGGCAGCAGUGGGGAAUAUUGCACAAUGGGCGGAAGCCUGAUGCAGCAACGCCGCGUGCGGGAUGACGGCCUUCGGGUUGUAAACCACUUUCGCCUGUGACGAAGCGUGAGUGACGGUAAUGGGUAAAGAAGCACCGGCUAACUACGUG